CACACAAUAACUAUAACUAUUCUAAACAACCCAAUUGCAUAAAAAAUACAGAAAUAGAAAAUUGCAUAACCGAUUUUUAAUUUCUUGUUCAAUAGGAAAAAAAGAAGAAAAAGGAAACGAAACAACUAAAGAGAAACAAAUUAAACAUACCCUUUAUUAGGCAGAUAAUCCAAUGGCAGAGUUUGUGUAAAGUAUGGAAAUUUGACCCCAACCUUCUGAGUUUGAGGCGAUGAAUGUUGAAACCUUUUGAGUUCUGACUAAUGACAAAGUUUGCUUUCUGGACUUUGAACACAAUUGAAAUCGCCACUUAAUUAGGGAUUGUAGCGUGAAAGUAAUUUUUUGGGAGAGAUUUUAGGGUGAAAGUAAAUUUUUG
rnacentral:lncRNA from 1 species